rnacentral:rRNA from 1 species
UUUUAUUGUUAUUUAUUUUUUUAUUUUUAUUAAUUCUUUUUAUGUUUUAUAAAUUAUUUUAUUGUUUUUGUAUUGUUAAGGAUUUAAUUUUUUGGGUUAUAGUUUAUAGUACUGUUAGGGAAUAAUUUAUUAUUUGUGUUAAAGUAUUUUUUGUUUGGUGUACCUUGUGUAUCAGGGUGGAGUGAAAUUUUUUAUUUAUUUUAUUUUUCUCGAAGUCAUAUGAUUAAACUAAUUAUUUAUUUUCAAUGUUUUAUAUUUGUUUUUAAUAUUUAUGUUGGUAAAGAAAUUUUAUUCGAUUUUGGUUAUAUCUAGUUGUUUUGGAAAUAAAUUUAAUUUAUUUGGUUUUUUUAGAUAUUUUGUGUUUUUAAUGCUUUCUUAAAUUUCUAAUAAAAUUAGGAGGGAUUAGCUUUUUAAUUUAUUAAUUAUAAAUUUUUUAUUUUGAUUUUUUAUGGAUUUAAUGGUAUUUAUUGAUUUGAUGAUGUAAAAAUUUUAUUUCUUAUUUUCUUUUAUUUGUUUGGUUUUAAUUAUUUUACUGGACUAAUUUAUUUAAUUUUUUAUUUUUUGUUAUUAUUCUUUAAUUAGUAUAUUGUUUUUAUUUGUUUUUUGUAAUAUUUAAUUCAUUUUAAAUAAUUCGGCAAAAUUAAUUCUCGAAUGUUUAACAAAAACAUUUUUUUUUGUAUUUAUUUAAAGUAUAACCUGCCCACUGAAUUGUUAUUUAAAUGGCCGCAGUAUACUGACUGUGCAAAGGUAGCAUAAUCAUUAGUUUUUUAAUUGAGGACUGGUAUGAAUGGUUUAACGAGGAAUUGACUGUUUCUUUAUGAUUUUUUGAAUUUGAUUAUUAAGUUAAAAGGCUUAAAUUUUUUUGUGGGACGAGAAGACCCUAUAGAGUUUUAUAAUAUUAUUUUGUUUUAUGUAUAUUAUUUUUGUUAAGAUGUUAUUAUUUUAUUGGGGCGAUAGGAAGAUAAUUUUAACUCUUUUUUUAUUUAUUUAUUUAUUUAUUUUGAUCCUUCAUUGUUGAUUAUAAGAUUAAAUUACCUUAGGGAUAACAGCGUUAUUUUUUUGGAGAGUUCUUAUCAAUAAAGGAGUUUGCGACCUCGAUGUUGGAUUAGGAUAUCAGUUGGGUGUAGCAGUUCAAUUUUGUAAGUCUGUUCGACUUUUAAAAUCCUACAUGAUCUGAGUUCAAACCGGUGUGAGCCAGGUUGGUUUCUAUCUAUAAUUUGGGUAAAUAUUUUAGUACGAGAGGACCAUAUAUUUGGAAUAAUUUUUAUUUAUAUUAUUUUAU